UACGAAGGGGGCUAGCGUUGUUCGGAUUUACUGGGCGUAAAGCGCACGUAGGCGGAUUGGUCAGUUAGGGGUGAAAUCCUGGAGCUCAACUCCAGAACUGCCUUUAAUACUGCCAGUCUCGAGUCCGGAAGAGGUAAGUGGAACUCCUAGUGUAGAGGUGGAAUUCGUAGAUAUUAGGAAGAACACCAGUGGCGAAGGCGGCUCACUGGUCCAUUACUGACGCUGAGGUGCGAAAGCGUGGGGAGCAAACAGGG
rnacentral:rRNA from 1 species